rnacentral:lncRNA from 1 species
UGGUGAAAACCUUUGUGAUAGUGAUUUAGGGUGCAAGUUUUGGUGGGGAGAUCCAUCAAGUGUGUGUAGUAAAGAUAGGCUGGAGUGUGGUGAUUGAUAAAUACCCAACCAUUGUGUUAUGAGGCUAUAGCUCCUUGAUUAAGACCCGAGGUUUCUUAAUUAUAGUAAUAAACGAGGUAGUAUUAUGGGAGUGGUGUAAAGUGUAGAGUCUUAUGGCUUUCACAAGUACCUUUAACUCUAAUUUAGUCUUUAACACAGGAGGAAUAUGCGGUUAUACUCAGGCCCUUGUAGUUAUGUGUUCGCCGGAUGAGAGAGGGAGGAAGGGUUGGGAGGUUGAAAUAGAGAAGUGUUAUCUUCAUAAGCUGAAAGCUUGGUGGAGAGUGUGGUCAUAUUUAAGGGUUAUUAGAUGCAUUGGGUG